rnacentral:rRNA from 1 species
GACGAACGCUGGCGGCGUGCUUAACACAUGCAAGUCGAACGGAAAGGCCCUGCUUUUGUGGGGUGCUCGAGUGGCGAACGGGUGAGUAACACGUGAGUAACCUGCCCUUGACUUUGGGAUAACUUCAGGAAACUGGGGCUAAUACCGGAUAGGAGCUCCUGCUGCAUGGUGGGGGUUGGAAAGUUUCGGCGGUUGGGGAUGGACUCGCGGCUUAUCAGCUUGUUGGUGGGGUAGUGGCUUACCAAGGCUUUGACGGGUAGCCGGCCUGAGAGGGUGACCGGCGACAUGGGGCCUGAGGUACGGACCAGAAUGGUACGGGAGGCAACGGGGGAGAGUCUGACAGAGUAGGGGGACGCCAGAGGCGGCGGCGCCCGGAGCGGAAUGACGGCCUUCGAGCUGUGAACAGAUUUCGAAUGUAACGAGGAGAGAGUGACGGUAAUGAAUAAGAAAGCACCGGCUAACUACGUG